rnacentral:rRNA from 1 species
UGGGAAUUUUGGACGAAUUGGGGGCAACCGUGAUCCAGCAAUGCCGCGUGUGUGAAGAAGGCCUUCGGGUUGUAAAGCACUUUUGUCCGGAAAGAAAACGCCGUGGUUAAUACCCGUGGCGGAUGACGGUACCGGAAGAAUAAGCACCGGCUAACUACGUGCCAGCAGCCGCGGUAAUACGUAGGGUGCAAGCGUUAAUCGGAAUUACUGGGCGUAAAGCGUGCGCAGGCGGUCCGCUAAGACAGAUGUGAAAUCCCCGGGCUUAACCUGGGAACUGCAUUUGUGACUGGCGGGCUAGAGUAUGGCAGAGGGGGGUAGAAUUCCACGUGUAGCAGUGAAAUGCGUAGAGAUGUGGAGGAAUACCGAUGGCGAAGGCAGCCCCCUGGGCCAAUACUGACGCUCAUGCACGAAAGCGU